rnacentral:rRNA from 1 species
GAUGAACGCUAGCGGCAGGCCUAAUACAUGCAAGUCGGACGGGAUCCAUUGAUAGCUUGCUAUCAAUGGUGAGAGUGGCGCACGGGUGCGUAACGCGUGAGCUACCUGCCUCCAUCAGGGGGAUAGCCUCUCGAAAGAGAGAUUAACACCGCAUAAUAUCAACAGUUCGCAUGUUCAGUUGAUUAAAUAUUUAUAGGAUGGAGAUGGGCUCGCGUGACAUUAGCUAGUUGGUAGGGUAACGGCUUACCAAGGCGACGAUGUCUAGGGGCUCUGAGAGGAGAAUCCCCCACACUGGUACUGAGACACGGACCAGACUCCUACGGGAGGCAGCAGUAAGGAAUAUUGGUCAAUGGGCGGAAGCCUGAACCAGCCAUGCCGCGUGCAGGAUGACUGCCCUAUGGGUUGUAAACUGCUUUUGUCCAGGAAUAAACCUAAAUACGAGUAUUUAGCUGAAUGUACUGGAAGAAUAAGGAUCGGCUAACUCCGUG